UUAAUGUAGCUUACCAGACAAAGCAAGGCACUGAAAAUGCCUAGACGGACCCAGCAGUCCCAUAAACA
rnacentral:tRNA from 1 species